CUUUCUCUCUUUCAAAAUCAAACUCAAUAAACACAGAGGGAUACCGCAGCCUUAACAACCAAUUUCUAGGGUUUCUCCUGUAAAUUAAGGUUAUUAUGUAUAGAACAGCAGCGUCGCGACUUCGAGCUCUCAAGAGCCAUGUUGGAAAUUUGCGGGCCACACAUUAUGGAACUUCGAGUGUGGUUGCUUCUAGGACAUCCUCACCCGGGUUCUUUAGCUGGCUGACUGGGGAACACUCUACUUCUCUUCCUCCUUUAGAUUCCCCAAUUCAUGGUGUUCCCCUUCCACCUCCUCUACCAGAUUAUAUUGAACCAAGCAAGGUUAAGUCAAAGACUCUUGAAAAUGGUGUCAGGAUUGUCUCAGAAGCAUCACCGAACCCUGCAGCCUCCGUAGGGUUGUAUCUUGAUUGCGGUUCUAUCUAUGAGACACCCAUGUCAUGUGGGGCAACACACUUGCUUGAACGGAUGGCAUUUAAGAGCACUAGGAACCGGAGCCAUUUGCGCAUUGUCAGAGAAGUGGAGGCAAUUGGGGGCAGUGUUGCUGCUUCAGCCUCUCGGGAGCA
rnacentral:misc_RNA from 1 species